GGGACCUUUCUUGAGCCCCGCCCCCGAGGUGGGCCAAAGCGGCAGGGCCCCUGCGCUCCUCCGCCGUCUCCCCCCAACCUCACCUCGACCACCUUGGGGUCCGAGGCUGACCGGUGGGGUUACUCUCCGCCUCCACAAUUCGGGCCAGGCGGGCACCGAGCUGCGCGGAAAGCGAGAGCUCGGGGCGCUGCUGGGCACCGUUCCUGCGGGGCUGAGACUCAUCGUGAGACCUCUGGCAGGUGGCGGCUGCACUUCUUGGGGUUUUCAAAGAUAUGGAAAGUGGUGCUGAGUAGCUCAAGAUCACUGAGGAGAGGGCCAAAAGGGACGUGGAGUUUCAAUUCCCCUCCGUGACUGAGGAGUCAGGAGGCCCGGGAGAGACCCGCGCUAGGAGAGUGUUUGACCGCUGACGGUUUCGCUACUUCUGCCGAGAUUUUGGGAUGGGAGCUCCAAAUAUGGAAAUUGUUCAUUGAAAUAAUCGGUACCCUCCUGCCUCCUUAAGUGGCGACUCUUUAUUUACACAUUCCCAUUCAGAGUCAUUUCGCUAUAAUGCAAACUUUGCAAGGUAUUUUCGACAUCGUUUUAAAAAAUUAUUCAAGAAGAAGCAAAUGGUUUGAAAAAUUAGAAAUUUUUGCCUCUAGGUCCC
rnacentral:lncRNA from 1 species